GACGAACCGUCCAAACGUUAUUCGGAAUCACUGGGCUUAAAGGGUGCGUAGGCGGCUCGACAAGUUGGGUGUGAAAGCCCUCGGCUCAACCGAGGAAUAGCGCCCAAAACUGUCGGGCUUGAGGAAGACAGAGGUGAGCGGAACUUAGGGUGGAGCGGUGAAAUGCGUUGAUAUCCUAGGGAACACCAGUAGCGAAAGCGGCUCACUGGGUCUUUUCUGACGCUGAUGCACGAAAGCUAGGGGAGCGAAGAGG
rnacentral:rRNA from 1 species